GUUCUUAGUUGGUGGAGGGAUUUGUUUGGUUGAUUCCAUUAACGAACAACACUCUAUCCUGCGAAAUAGAGCCAACUUCCUUCUUUUUUUUUGUGUGUGUGUUGACUUUCGUUCUUUCAUACAGGGAAUGACGUUGUCUAGCCUCACGAGAUUGAUAAAUAACA
rnacentral:rRNA from 1 species